rnacentral:rRNA from 1 species
AACUUGUUCCUCGAGUCGUUGAUUUCACACUGCCGAGAAAAGCCUCUAGCUAGAAUAACGGUGCCCGUACCGCAAACCGACACAGGUAGUCAAGAUGAGAAUUCUAAGGUGAGCGAGCGAACUCUCGUUAAGGAACUCGGCAAAAUGACCCCGUAACUUCGGGAGAAGGGGUGCUCUUUGAGGUUCACGCUUCGAAGAGCCGCAGUGAAUAGGCCCAAGCGACUGUUUAUCAAAAACACAGGUCUCUGCUAAACCGUAAGGUGACGUAUAGGGGCUGACGCCUGCCCGGUGCUGGAAGGUUAAGAGGAGUGGUUAGCGCAAGCGAAGCUACGAAUCGAAGCCCCAGUAAACGGCGGCCGUAACUAUAACGGUCCUAAGGUAGCGAAAUUCCUUGUCGGGUAAGUUCCGACCCGCACGAAAGGCGUAACGAUUUGGGCACUGUCUCAACGAGAGACUCGGUGAAAUCAUAGUACCGGUGAAGAUGCCGGUUACCCGCGACAGGACGGAAAGACCCCGUGGAGCUUUACUGUAGCCUGAUAUUGAAAUUCGGUACAGUUUGUACAGGAUAGGUAGGAGCCUUAGAAGCGUGAGCGCUAGCUUACGUGGAGGCAUUGGUGGGAUACUACCCUAAUUGUAUUGGAUUUCUAACCCGCAGCACUUAUCGUGCUGGGAGACAGUGUCAGGCGGGCAGUUUGACUGGGGCGGUCGCCUCCUAAAGAGUAACGGAGGCGCUCAAAGGUUCCCUCAGAAUGGUUGGAAAUCAUUCAUAGAGUGUAAAGGCAUAAGGGAGCUUGACUGCGAGACCUACAAGUCGAGCAGGGUCGAAAGACGGACUUAGUGAUCCGGUGGUUCCGCAUGGAAGGGCCAUCGCUCAACGGAUAAAAGCUACCCCGGGGAUAACAGGCUUAUCUCCCCCAAGAGUUCACAUCGACGGGGAGGUUUGGCACCUCGAUGUCGGCUCAUCGCAUCCUGGGGCUGUAGUCGGUCCCAAGGGUUGGGCUGUUCGCCCAUUAAAGCGGUACGCGAGCUGGGUUCAGAACGUCGUGAGACAGUUCGGUCCCUAUCCGUCGUGGGCGUAGGAAAUUUGAGAGGAGCUGUCCUUAGUACGAGAGGACCGGGAUGGACAUACCUCUGGUGUACCAGUUGUCGUGCCAACGGCAUAGCUGGGUAGCUAUGUAUGGACGGGAUAAGUGCUGAAAGCAUCUAAGCAUGAAGCCCCCCUCGAGAUGAGAUUUCCCAACUUCGGUUAUAAG